rnacentral:rRNA from 1 species
ACGGAUCUCUUGGCUCUCGCAUCGAUGAAGAACGCAGCGAAAUGCGAUAAGUAAUGUGAAUGCAGAAAUUCAGUGAAUCAUCGAAUCUUUGAACGCACCUUGCGCUCGACGGUAUUCCGACGAGCAUGCCUGUNUGAGUCUCAUGAAUCUCUCAAACCCCGAUGGUUGCGAAAGCGACUUUUGGUGGUUUGGACUUGGGGGUUUGCCGGCGUUCGUCGGCUCCUCCUAAAUGCAUUAGCAUUGGAUCGUUCGUGUUGGUCCACGAUGUGAUAAACGUCUACUUCGUGUGAUCGGCGCCUUGCCGAAGGCAACGGAAAGGACUCUACCGCAGGGCAACCUGUAGCGCUUCGGCCGUGUGGAGUUUUUGGAAGUUGUCUGAAAGCGAGUCGGUCUGGCUUCUAAUCGCCCUCGGGCAACAUUCUUGACAUCUGAGCUCAAAUCAGGUAGGACUACCCGCUGAACUUAAGCAUAUCAAUAAGCGGAGGAAAAGAAACUAACAAGGAUUCCCCUAGUAACUGCGAGUGAAGCGGGAAAAGCUCAAAUUUAAAAUCUGGCGUCUUCGGCGUCCGAGUUGUAAUCUGGAGAAGCGUCUUCCGCGC